UACGGGGGGUGCGAGCGUUGUCCGGAAUCACUGGGCGUAAAGGGCGCGUAGGUGGUGUCGUAAGUUUGUGGUGAAAGCCCGGGGCUCAACCCCGGGUCUGCCGCGAAUACUGCGAGACUUGAGUGCUGUAGAGGCGGGUAGAAUGCCGGGUGUAGCGGUGGAAUGCGUAGAGAUCCGGCAGAAGACCGGUGGCGAAGGCGGCC
rnacentral:rRNA from 1 species